rnacentral:rRNA from 1 species
UACGUAGGGUGCGAGCGUUGUCCGGAAUUAUUGGGCGUAAAGAGCUCGUAGGCGGUGUGUCACGUCGGCCGUGAAAACCUGCAGCUUAACUGUGGGCGUGCGGUCGAUACGGGCAUCACUGGAGUUCGGCAGGGGAGACUGGAGUUCCUGGUGUAGCGGUGAAAUGCGCAGAUAUCAGGAGGAACACCGGUGGCGAAGGCGGGUCUCUGGGCAGUAACUGACGCUGAGGAGCGAAAGCGUGGGGAGCGAACAGG